UACGUAGGUGGCAAGCGUUACUCGGAAUCACUAGGCGUAAAGCGCAGGUAGGAGGUUGGAUAAGUCUCUUGUGAAAGCUCCCGGCUUAACUGGGAGAGGUCAAGGGAAACUAUUCGGCUAGAGUGUGGUAGAGGAAGAUGGAAUUCCCGGUGUAGCGGUGAAAUGCGUAGAUAUCGGGAGGAAUACCUAUGGCGAAAGCAGUCUUCUGGACCAUCACUGACUCUGAUCUGCGAAAGCUAGGGGAGCAAACAGGAUUAGAUACCCCCGUAGUCC
rnacentral:rRNA from 1 species